UCCUGUACCCAACACGGCCCGUCGAAUAAUCAGGCUUAAGGCAACCCAACGCGGGUUGCGGCCGAGUAAACACAACCACCGGAUGUUUUUUGCUUGCUUAACUUGUAGAGGCUGGUGGGAACUUCUGCAAUCUUUCAUCCAGUUUUGGCAAGGUUCCAUUAGGUUUUUUCUAUUUCUUUUUUCUGUGUUGGUCAUCAUUUUUUCUGAUUUUUUGUUUUCUUUUUUAUUUUCUUAGUUCAUUUUUUUAAAUUAUGGAAAUUUUAUGAAUUCAGGUUUUCCUAAUUGAUAACAUUUAUUGAACGCACAAAGUUUUUCUGAAAUCUAAUCCAUGAACAUUUUAUGCAUUCACCAACAAUUUUCAUAAUUCAAGAACACUUUUCAUUAAAAUUGGACCUUUUCAAAUUUGUGGACAUUCUUUUAAUUCCUGAAGAAAAAAUUCUGAUUUUUUAAAAUUCAUGAUAAUCCAUUACUAUUUUUCCAAAUUUGUGGCCACCUUUUGGAUUCAUGAUUUUUUUUCAAUUUUGUGGUCUUCUUUUAAAUUCAUGAAUACUUUAAUAUUGACUAAAAAAUUCUCAAAUUUGUAAAAUUUUAAAUAUUUUUGAACAUAUUUUAAAUUCAUGGUAGUUUUUUAAUCAGGGAAAAACUUUUUUAAUUGAGGACCAUGAUCUUGAAAUUCAUGAAUAUUUAUCAAUUCGUGAACAUUUUGUAAGAUUAUGAUAUUUUCCGAAUUCAUAAGUUUUUAAUUUAGAUAGAAAGGAUGGAAAAUACUGUGUGCUCGCGUGCUUAGUGCAGGCUCGCACGUAGGGCCUGGAAUUUAUUGAUACAUAGCAUUUCUCCAAAACAUCACCUUUUAAGAUAGUUGGGCAGCAGCAGUACUAUUUUGGACGGUUUUCUUCUAUUCUCUAGACGUGUUUCUUCUAUUCUCUUUUGUUCUCAAUUUAAUUUCCCUUUUAUUUUUAUUUUAUAUUUCCCCUUUUUGUAAUUUCCACGCUCUUGUAAUUUAUAGAUAUUUACAAAAUUUGCAAACAUUUUCUAGAAAACAGACAUAUUUUAAAAAUAUAUAACAUCGUGCUAGAAGUAGACGCAUCCAGUGCUCUUUUUCUUGUUAUUUACCUUCUUCUUCUUUUUUGCUUUAAUUGCAAGCUACAACCUUCCAGAUCUGAAGAAACCUCCUGCUAGAGCAAUAAUCUACGAAUAAUUUGCAUAUAUGUGUGCACACAUGUACAUAAAUGUGGCCUAGCACAAUCUCUGCAUGAUUAGUACUACUGACUACAUACACGUACAUCUCACUUGUUUCUUAUACAUUUAUUUCAUUCAAUAUUCAGAUGGAUAUAGCAUCUGCCCAUUACACUGUCAAGCGACGCCGAGUCUUAGGUGUUCUAGCUGUUAUGUUGGCCAUUUUCCGAUGGCGUCGACGACGUAGAAAUUACAGUAUUAGAAUGUCUCGAAGAAAAUAUGGGCCAUUGGUGGAUAGACUUGGAGAGGCAAAGAAAGUUGAAUGACCUGUACAAUUCAACAGAUAAAAACUGCAUCAGUCAGCUCCGGAUGAGGAAAGAUGUGUUUUGGAAGCUAUCAGCCCAUUUACGUGAUGCCAAACUUGUACGUGAUUCAGUGCAUGUAUCAGUUGAAGAAAAAUUAGCCAUUUUCCUGCAUACGGUUGGCCACAAUUUGAGAAAUAGAGUGGUCGGGUUUUUCCUCACGAGAUCUAGCUAUACAGUAAGCAAAUGCUUCCAUGAGGUCUUGAAUGCCUUGUGUUUUCUUGCCAAAGAUAUGAUAAAGCUUAGGUCGAUAGAGACCCACCAAAAGAUACUUGAUAGCCCCGGUCGGUUCUACCCUACUUUAAGGACUGCAUUGGGGCACUUGAUGGAACCCACAUCCCUGCAUUUGUCCCUGAGAACAUAGCUAACAGAUUUCGAGGUCGGAAGUCAUACCCAACCCAAAAUGUCCUUGCAGUUGUGGACUUUGAUUUGAGGUUUACCUAUGUACUUGCUGGGUGGGAGGGAUCUACUCAUGACUCUGAAGUUCUGAAGGCUGCCCUUAACAGAACAAAUGGGAUUCCAAUGCCAGAAGGCAAAUAUUACUUAGCUGAUGCUGGGUAUGCAGCAAGACCUGGUAUACUGCCGCCAUAUAGAGGUGUCCGAUACCACUUGAAGGAAUUCGGGGCUGGGAGACGUCCACAAACGCCACAAGAAUUAUUCAACCUUCGACAUUCAUCCCUUCGUACAACCGUUGAGCGAGCUUUUGGGACCUUAAAGAAUCGUUUUAAAAUCCUUGCAAACAAGCCAUUCUUUCCAUUUAGAAAACAAGUGAAGAUUGUCAUAGCAUGUUGUGUUCUACAAAAUUGGAUCCUAGAUAAUGGUCCAGACAACAUCAUAUAUGAUGAAGAUCGUUGGUACAAUAGUCUGCCUAGGUCAUCUAGAGUUGCAACAGAUAAUGCGAGGGACAAUAGGCAAUGGACGGCAAAGCGAGACAAUCUAGCAAAUAUUAUGUGGGAGCACCGUCAAUUCCAUCAUUGAUAUUCCCUUUGCUGUAGUUUGUUUUACUUUUGGCUUGUUUGCAAGACAAUAAUUUUCUAUUAUGUGUGCCAGUAUCUUGUACUUGAUUUGGUUCAGCGAAUCUAUAUUAUGGAUGUUGCUAUCAUGUAAUGGAUCUGGUUGUUUUUAUUAUGGAUGCUAUCAUUAUUUCCUUGUUUUGUCAUUACUAUUUUUGUCAUGUAUCAUCUUGUAGUUCAUAAAAUGGAUGAAGCUGAAAGAAAUAUGAGCAGUAAGGGGAAAGAAUGCAAAGGUGACAAGAAUGCAAGGGCAAAAGCUAUAAAUUGGCCUAUAGCUAUAUCUGAGUUUCUUCUUGACUGGUACAUUGAGAAGAAGAUUGAAAUGCCUCCUAAAGCAGUAUUCAAGAAGAUGCAUCACAAUGCUUGCACAUCAGCAAUAAAUGAGAAGUAUGGGUGUUCUUAUAGUGUCGAGCAAGUUCAUUGUCACUUUAGGUGUCAUAAGGAGACAUGGGGGCAAGUGGCUAGGUACAGCAAUGAGAGUGGUAGCGGUUUUGAUGAUGUCAACAAACAAGUGCUGCUCUCUCAAUCUACUCUGGAUACACUAUCGGUAAUGAUCUCAUAUACAUUAUUUAUUUAUUGAGUGUUUAACUAUCGAUGUGGAAAUAACAAAAAAUAAUCUUGUAGGCCAAUGAUCGUGGAAUUCUGUGAAAACCGAUUCAGUUCUACGACAAGUUGAAAGAACUAUUUAGUGGUUCCUCAGCCGAUGGCUCUUUUAUGCAAGACCCUUUCUCUGCAGCUGAAACUGACAAUGAUGAUAAGGCAAAAGAUGACAUGAUGAAUGAUAUGUCCACCUAUGAUGAAGCAAAGGGUCCAACAGGUCAUGACUCAGAUAAAUUAGAUACAGAUAGUGAUGAUUGUGAAGCGGUGGCUGCUCUUGCUGCAACUAAUAGUCAAGUUUCAUCAUCCAAUGUUGGUGCUCUAAAGCCUAACAAGAAAAGUUUCAAAAAAACUACCAAGGCAAAUACUCUCCCACCACCACAAAAUGAUAAAGCUAAAAAGUCAAAGGCGAGAUCAUCUCAAGCAUCACAGGAUGACACUGAUAUGGAUGUGCUGCUCACAAGUACCUUGAUAGGCAUACGAGAGACCCUUGCAAGUCCAGUACAGACUGUAGCCCCAAAGGACCCAAAUGCUCCUUUAUGGGACAUGCUCAAGAAGAUUCCAUUGCCACCUGAUGAGAGGAUGUCGGUCAGGAUGCAUCUAUGCAAGCCAGAAUUUGCAGUUCAUCGUGGUUUCCUUGUCAGCAUGGGUCGGGAAUGCCUGGAGCGUUGGGUGUACACAUACUUAUCCGACAAUGAUCCUACUGGCAAACGUGGUGGCGAUGGUCCUGCUGGUAACCUUGGCGACGAUGGUCCGGCUGGUGACCUUGGUGAUGAUGCUGCAGUUAACUCCAGUACUUUCUAAGUAAGAUUGAUUGGUGGUCAACCAUUUUGCUGGAGCCUUUUGGUUGCAAAACACUAGUUUCUUAGUAGUUGAUUGUCUUUUGGCUAUGCACAGUUGAUGUCUAAGU